rnacentral:rRNA from 1 species
UAGGGAAUAUUGGACAAUGGGCGCAAGCCUGAUCCAGCGAUGCCGCGUGAGUGAUGAAGGCCUUAGGGUUGUA